rnacentral:tRNA from 1 species
GGAGAGAUGGCCGAGUGGUCGAAGGCAACCGAUUGCUAAUCGGUUGAGGGGUAAAAAGCCCCUCCCAGGGUUCGAAUCCCUGUCUCUCCG